rnacentral:rRNA from 1 species
UAUACGACCGUACCGCAAACCGACACUGGUGCGCGAGAUGAGUAUUCUAAGGCGCUUGAGAGAACUCAGGAGAAGGAACUCGGCAAAUUGACACCGUAACUUCGGAAGAAGGUGUGCCCUAUUAGUGUGUAGUGAACAACGAAGCAUGAAUGGGUUGCAAAAAAUCGGUGGCUGCGACUGUUUAUUAAAAACACAGCACUCUGCAAACACGAAAGUGGACGUAUAGGGUGUGACGCCUGCCCGGUCUGGAAGAUAAAAUGAUGGGGUGCAAGCUCUUGAUUGAAGUCCCAGUAAACGGCGGCCGUAACUAUAACGGUCCUAAGGUAGCGAAAUUCCUUGUCGGGUAAGUUCCGACCUGCACGAAUGGCGUAACGAUGGCCACACUGUCUCCUCCUGAGACUCAGCGAAGUUGAAAUGUUUGUGAUGAUGCAAUCUCCCCGCGGAAAGACGGAAAGACCCCAUGAACCUUUACUGUAGCUUUGUAUUGGACUUUGAACAGAUCUGUGUAGGAUAGGUGGGAGGCUUUGAAGCAGGGUCGCUAGAUCUUGUGGAGCCAACGUUGAAAUACCACCCUGGUGUGUUUGAGGUUCUAACCUAGGUCCAUUAUCUGGAUCGGGGACAGUGCAUGGUAGGCAGUUUGACUGGGGCGGUCUCCUCCCAAAGCGUAACGGAGGAGUUCGAAGGUACGCUAGUUACGGUCGGACAUCGUGACGAUAGUGCAAUGGCAUAAGCGUGCUUAACUGCGAGACUGACAAGUCGAGCAGAUGCGAAAGCAGGACAUAGUGAUCCGGUGGUUCUGUAUGGAAGGGCCAUCGCUCAACGGAUAAAAGGUACUCUGGGGAUAACAGGCUGAUACCGCCCAAGAGUUCAUAUCGACGGCGGUGUCUGGCACCUCGAUGUCGGCUCAUCUCAUCCUGGGGCUGUAGCCGGUCCCAAGGGUAUGGCUGUUCGCCAUUUAAAGAGGUACGUGAGCUGGGUUUAAAACGUCGUGAGACAGUUUGGUCCCUAUCUUCCGUGGGCGCUGCAGAUUUGAGGAAGCCUGCUCCUAGUACGAGAGGACCGGAGUGGACACACCUCUGGUGUAUCGGUUGUCACGCCAGUGGCAUUGCCGAGUAGCUAAGUGUGGAAGAGAUAACCGCUGAAAGCAUCUAAGCGGGGAACUCGUUUCAAGAUGAGAUCUGCCGGGGCCUUGAGCCCCCUAAAGAGUCGUUCAAGACCAGGACGUUGAUAGGUCAGGUGUGGAAGC